rnacentral:rRNA from 1 species
GACGAACGCUGGCGGCGUGCCUAAUACAUGCAAGUCGAGCGAAGUUUUUCUGGUGCUUGCACCGGAAAAACUUAGCGGCGAACGGGUGAGUAACACGUAAAGAACCUGCCUCAUAGACUGGGACAACUAUUGGAAACGAUAGCUAAUACCGGAUAACAGCAUUAACUGCAUGGUUGAUGUUUGAAAGUUGGUUUUGCUAACACUAUGAGAUGGCUUUGCGGUGCAUUAGCUAGUUGGUGGGGUAAAGGCCUACCAAGGCGACGAUGCAUAGCCGACCUGAGAGGGGGAUCGGCCACACUGGGACUGAGACACGGCCCAGACUCCUACGGGAGGCAGCAGUAGGGAAUCUUCCGCAAUGGGCGAAAGCCUGACGGAGCAACGCCGCGUGAGUGAAGAAGGAUUUCGGUUCGUAAAGCUCUGUUGUUAGGGAAGAAUGAUUAUGUAGUAACUAUACAUAGUAGAGACGGUACCUAACCAGAAAGCCACGGCUAACUACGUG